AGUUCGGAUUGGAGUCUGNAACCCGACUCCAUGAAGCUGGAUUCGCUAGUAAUCGCGCAUCAGCCAUGGCGCGGUGAAUACGUUCCCGGGCCUUGUACACACCGCCCGUCAAGCCAUGGGAGCCGGGAGUGCCUGAAGUGCGUGACCGCAAGGAGCGCCCUAAGGCAAGACCGGUGACUGGGGCUAAGUCGUAACAAGGUAUC
rnacentral:rRNA from 1 species